AAGCAGGGGAUCGUAAGACCUUGCGCUUUUGGAGUGGCCGAUGCCUGAUUAGCUAGUUGGUGGGGUAAGGGCCUACCAAGGCGACGAUCAGUAGUUGGUCUGAGAGGACGACCAGCCACACUGGGACUGAGACACGGCCCAGACUCCUACGGGAGGCAGCAGUGGGGAAUUUUGGACAAUGGGCGAAAGCCUGAUCCAGCAAUGCCGCGUGAGUGAAGAAGGCCUUCGGGUUGUAAAGCUCUUUCAGUCGAGAAGAAAAGGUUGCGACUAAUAAUCGCAACUUAUGACGGUAUCGACAGAAGAAGCACCGGCUAACUACGUGCCAGCAGCCGCGGUAAUACGUAGGGUGCGAGCGUUAAUCGGAAUUACUGGGCGUAAAGGGUGCGCAGGCGGCUCUGUAAGUCAGAUGUGAAAUCCCCGGGCUUAACCUGGGAAUUGCGUUUGAAACUACAAAGCUUAGA
rnacentral:rRNA from 1 species